rnacentral:sRNA from 1 species
CGGUGUCGAACUGAUCUGGGGAGAUGAAGUGAAUGUGGGUAUCGAUCGCGCCUGCGGUCACGAUGGUGUGCUCACCGGCGUAGGCCUCGGUGUUCACGCCGACCGGGAUGUCGAUGUCAUCCUGGACGUCCGGGUUGCCGGCGCGGCCGAUGCCCUCGAUCAGGCCAUCGCGGAUGCCGAUGUCGGCCUUGUAGAUGCCGGUGUGGUCGACGAUGAUCGCGUUCGUGAUGACGGUGUCGACGACGCCCUCGUCGCGGGUCAUGCGGGCGUUCAUGCCCAUGCCCUCGCGG